rnacentral:lncRNA from 1 species
CUGCGGAUGAGGGUUGAGCAGUCCAGCUAUUUGCACACCUCCAGCACACGCCCUAUCGUGGCUUUAUUUUCACAACUUUCGGGCGGGUGUUGGUGGCCCCAGAUGAUGAUUGUCUGUCUGUACCUGUACCUGUAUCUGUGUCUGUAUCUGUAUCUGUGUGUGUCAUUAGCUUCACAACUCAUUAGCAGAUACGAGAUAAAGCCCCCGCCGAGUGACAGGAAGAGCACAAAGGAGGGGCUCGAGGGGCUCUGCUCUGCGCUGCGCUGCUCUCUCGCUUCCAGUUUUUAUCGUCAAUGCUUUUUGGCACUUGCCUGAUUCCGUUUGAGAAAUGCCAAAUGGCAGUUAAUCACCAGAAAUUUCUAUAUCAAUCAUCUGCCCCAAUCGGGGAGUGUGGGGGGGGGGGGGAGAUUCGGGUUGCUGCAUUGGUCCGAGAUAGUCCGAGUCCCCUCUCUCUCUCUCUGUCUCUUUCUGAGUGUGUGUCCGUCACUCGAUAGUUGCUCCAUCCCGCAGCAAACCCAAGCACCCCCCUCUGUCACUCUCCUG